UCUCCUGCCUCAGCCUCCCAAGUAGCUGGGACUACAGGUGUGUGCCACCACACCCGGCUAAUUUUUGUAUUUUUAGUAGAGAUGGGGUUUUGUCAUGUUGGCCAGGCUGGUCUUGAACUCCUGACCUCUUAAUCUGCCUGCCUCGGCCUCCCAAAGUGUUGGGAUUACAGGCUUGAGCCACCACGCCCAGCCUUCUUUUCUCUUUUUUAUUCUUUUUUUCUUUGUCCUCUGACUGGAUAAUUUCAGAAGAUCUAUAUUCAAGUUUACAGAUUCUCUCUCCUGUUGAAGUUUACUAUUGUGUUAUAUCACCCAGUCUGGUCUUGAACUCCUGGGCUCAAGCGACCCUCCCACCUUGGCCUCCCAAAGUGCUGAGUUUACAAGCAUGAGCCACUGCAUCCAGUCAGUCCCAGCACUUUGGGAAGCUGAGGUGGGAGGAUCACUUGAGCUCAGGAGUUUGAGACCAGCCUGGGCAACAUACUGAGAACUUGUCUCUAUAUUAAAAAAAAAAAAAAAAGUCUUUGGGAGGCCAAAGCGGGAGGAUCACCUGAGGUCAGGAGUUCGAGACCAGCCUGGCCAGCAUGGCAAAACCCCAUCUCUACUAAAAAUACAAAAAUUAGCCAGGUGUGGUGGCACACACCUGUAGUGGUGGUGCAUGCCUGUAGUCCCAGCUACUCAAGAGGCUGAGGCAGGAGAAUCACUUGAACUGGGAGAUGGAGGUUGCAGUGAGCUGAGAUCGCACCAGUGCACUCCAGCCUGGGCAACAGAGUGAGACUCCAUCUUAUAAAAGGAAGAGAGAAAGAAAAGAAAAAUUCCAUAUGUGAGUGUUUACUCCUGAGUUUUUGAGAUUGUUAUUAAGAUCGUGCUCUACUGUGAUGAUUUGGGUUUGUUUGAUAAUCAGAAAAAAGCAUAUUCUUUUGGGUGUUCAGCCACACUGCUUUGGUGUCACAACUGCACAUUGGUUUCACAGCUGCAGGACAAGUUCGAGCAUCUUAAAAUGAUUCAACAGGAGGAGAUAAGGAAGCUCGAGGAAGAGAAAAAACAACUGGAAGGAGAAAUCAUAGAUUUUUAUUAAAUGAAAGCUGCCUCUGAAGCACUGCAGACUCAGCUGAGCACCGAUACAAAGAAAGACAAACAUCACCAAACCAAUGCAGACCAAACCAAUGCAGAACUCCUAUGUGCUGAUGGUGGUCUUACGUUUCCCUAAGUUUCUGCCGACUAAACUGUGCACACGUUCUCAGGACCUCCUGAAGCUGCGUCACAGGCACUAAUCAAAGAACACAACCAAGAGUUUGGCCUUUUCUUCAGCACUGGGAAUUGUGAUCCAAAGCUUUCCCGGAUGAAGCACAAAGUUGGAGAAACAAAACGCAAACUAAACAACAACAAUGAAACAGAACAGAGUUAAUCGGCUGUAGCUCAAGAGAGGAUGUACCUGCCCCCACCCCGCAUCCCUGGGCUCGGGUUUGCCUUGCUGACCUCUGCUGCCACCUGGUGCCACACAGAGAAACUGAGGAGAAACCACAUCAGUCUCCUUCAGCCUCAGCUUCACAUCUGUGGGUCAAGUAACCCUUUCAGAAGCUGUAUAAUGUGGGAAAGCUUUCCUCUCAGGAAAAUGCACACAUCCAACUUUGAGAAGAUGCCCUUGGGGGCGCUUCAAGGAUCCUAGAUAAAGAACCCC